rnacentral:rRNA from 1 species
GUGAUGUGAUGCGCAAGUCAACCACUUAUACGUGAAUCAUCGAGUUGUUGAACGCAUUGCACCGCGCCCUAAUCCGGCUGUGGUAUGCCCCUUUGAGCGUCAUUGUAUCCCUUCGGGAGUCCUUUUACAAGGACCCGAGUUCGGAGUCCUCGGUCCCCUCUGGAUCGUGUUCUCUCAGAUCCCUCGCACCGAUCGCCUGAUGCGUCCUCUAAUGCCUGAGCGUGGAGUUCCUUCAGAGUCCGACACGUGCUCGACCGAGUCUUGAGCUCGUGUCACCAAGUCCGCCUAACAAACGGUACUACAACCCAUGACCUCAUUGGGGUAGGACAACCCGCUAGACUUAAGCAUAUUAAUCAGCGGAGGAAAAGAAACUAACCAGGAUUCCCUCAGUAACUGCGAGUGAAGCGGGAUCGGCUCAAUGUGUGAAUCUGGCUUGGGGUACAUCCCGGGUUCGAGUUGUGCACUAUGGAUGCUUCGUCUGCGUUUGUAAAGGCGGUGGAAGUCCGUUGAAACACGGCACCUCAGAGGGUCACAGUCCUGUACCACCUGCCUGCACUCGCGCCAAUGACAAGUGCUCCUCGAGUCGCGUAGUUUUGUAAUGCUGCGCCAAGUGGGAGGUAGAGACCUUCUAAGGCUAAAUAUGAUGACGUGACCGAUAGCACACAAGUACCGCGAGGGAAAGGUGAAAAGCAACCAUGAAAAAUGGGUUGAAACAGUAGUGAAAGCGCUACCGGGAUAAGGGCUAUCGGGUGCUGGGGCUCUUUGGGUGUGCUUUAGUGCUACCCUCCGAGACGGCCCGCGAGGGUUGAUGUUGGGGCGAUAGACGCACUGCAGGAAUUCGGCUGCCUUCGGGCAGUGUUGUAGCCUGUGUUUGCUGAUCCUCCUGCGAC